ACUAGCGCGCCCGACGCUCCCUCCGGCGAGCAGCUCCGCGCCACACGAUAGUUGCCCCACGCCCACGGUCAUCCGGCAGCGGCGGCGCCAAUGGAUCCAACGACAUUAGCCUCCGGCAGCGGCGGUGCUUCUGGCUACCCUGACGUGCCCCACUCCAGCUCCUCCCCUUCCUGGUGAACAAAUUUACUGUUUGAGGCUCCCUGCUGGAUGUCGGUGCCGGAGGGGAACAGACACCAUCGUCUCCCCGCGCCCAUAGACUUCUCUUCUCUCCUGCAACGCAAGGUUGAUUUUCCUCUUAAACAUUCACAUGGAAAAGAAUAGGGCUACUCCUUACACAUUGUGUGCUGGCGUCAGAACAUGUUAUACUCCAACAGAAGUUCAGCAGGGACAUAUAGACAGAGUGAUGUGUUGUGUGCUGUUAGUUCAUAAAAGUUCAGGAACUAGAGAUUCAACAUACAAUCAAUGUAUAAUAAUAUCUCCUGUUUUGCUCAUUUUUUCUUCCGAAAACAUCACCAUGUUUUUCUUCCCAAUAACGAUGGCUAUAUUGGUCACCGCAACGUAAGUACAGUUCUAGGUUCCAGCUUUUGAUCCAUUCUCUUAUUUUAUUGCACUAAAACAUGCUUGAACCAUGUUUGGGAAUAUGUUAGAUAGCUCCAGCACAGGUGACUCCGUUUGCACUUGUACUUCUCAAGUGGGAGCUAUGUGUACUAAUUAUUUUGCUAGCAAACCUAAGUCUUAUUCUGUGCAUGUGUACUUGUACUUCUUAACUUGUUCUAGCAAAUAUAUGUGAAAACUAGGUAGCAUUUCUUCACACUUUUGGUGGGAAAAAUAUUGUUAAAACAUGUUUCUUCAAAUGGGAGUUAAUCAAAAAAUUGGCAGAGGCAGUGUAGGAGUAGCAGCCACGUCAUGGACGGUGAAAUGCGAACAAGGUUUCAGUCGGGGUGGUCUACACCAACUACCUUCAGCUAGGAGGACAGAAAAUAGUAGUAGGAUGAAUACAUUGGCCUUACCGGUCUGUCCAGCAACUUCAUUCCACGCCGUUAUGUUCCUAUGUUUGGAGAGACGAACGAUGAUCCGAACCGUCAGUACGCGCCUAUACCGACGGGAGAACAACUUGAGGCACUUGGAAUAGGUAUAGAGAAGAGGAAUAUCUUCCUAGGACUGCCUCUUCACUGACAAAGACAAGAAGACCGGCAGCAUCCUCAGUCAGGUGUGCGCGGCGAGCGGCUACUGAACUAGCACAAAGGAUACCAAGCAGGCUAAGGGUGAAGUACACAAUGCAGGCAAU